GACGGGGGGUCCAAGCGUUGUUCGGAAUCAUUGGGCGUAAAGAGCUCGUAGGCGGCCUGUUGCGUCCGCUGUGAAAGCCCGGGGCUUAACCCCGGGCCUGCAGUCGAUACGGGCAGACUAGAGUGCGGUAGGGGAGACUGGAAUUCCUGGUGUAGCGGUGAAAUGCGCAGAUAUCAGGAGGAACACCGGUGGCGAAGGCGGGUCUCUGGGCCGUAACUGACGCUGAGGAGCGAAAGCGUGGGGAGCGAACAGG
rnacentral:rRNA from 1 species